rnacentral:rRNA from 1 species
UACGAAGGGGGCUAGCGUUGUUCGGAAUUACUGGGCGUAAAGCGCGCGUAGGCGGACAUCUAAGUCAGGGGUGAAAUCCCAGGGCUCAACCCUGGAACUGCCUUUGAUACUGGACGUCUGGAGUUCGGGAGAGGUGAGUGGAAUUCCGAGUGUAGAGGUGAAAUUCGUAGAUAUUCGGAGGAACACCAGAAGCGAAGGCGGCUCACUGGCCCGAUACUGACGCUGAGGCACGAAAGCGUGGGGAGCAAACAGG